rnacentral:rRNA from 1 species
UACGUAGGUCCCGAGCGUUGUCCGGAUUUAUUGGGCGUAAAGCGAGCGCAGGUGGUUUAUUAAGUCUGGUGUAAAAGGCAGUGGCUCAACCAUUGUAUGCAUUGGAAACUGGUAGACUUGAGUGCAGGAGAGGAGAGUGGAAUUCCACGUGUAGCGGUGAAAUGCGUAGAUAUUAGGAGGAACACCAGUGGCGAAGGCGGCUUACUGGACUGUAACUGACGUUGAGGCUCGAAAGCGUGGGGAGCAAACAGG